GACGAACGCUGGCGGCGUGCUUAACACAUGCCAGUCGAACGGAAAGGCCCUGCUUUUGUGGGGUGCUCGAGUGGCGAACGGGUGAGUAACACGUGAGUAACCUGCCCUUGACUUUGGGAUAACUUCAGGAAACUGGGGCUAAUACCGGAUAGGAGCUCCUGCUGCAUGGUGGGGGUUGGAAAGUUUCGGCGGUUGGGGAUGGACUCGCGGCUUAUCAGCUUGUUGGUGGGGUAGUGGCUUACCAAGGCUUUGACGGGUAGCCGGCCUGAGAGGGUGACCGGCCACAUUGGGACUGAGAUACGGCCCAGACUCCUACGGGAGGCAGCAGUGGGGAAUAUUGCACAAUGGGCGGAAGCCUGAUGCAGCAACGCCGCGUGCGGGAUGACGGCCUUCGGGUAGUAAACCGCUUUCGCCUGUGACGAAGCGUGAGUGACGGUAAUGGGUAAAGAAGCACCGGCUAACUACGUG
rnacentral:rRNA from 1 species